rnacentral:rRNA from 1 species
AACGAACGCUGGCGGCAUGCCUAACACAUGCAAGUCGAACGAGACCUUCGGGUCUAGUGGCGCACGGGUGCGUAACGCGUGGGAACCUGCCCUUAGGUUCGGAAUAACUCCCCGAAAGGGGUGCUAAUACCGGAUAAUGUCUUCGGACCAAAGAUUUAUCGCCUUUGGAUGGGCCCGCGUUGGAUUAGCUAGUUGGUAGGGUAAAAGCCUACCAAGGCGACGAUCCAUAGCUGGUCUGAGAGGAUGAUCAGCCACACUGGGACUGAGACACGGCCCAGACUCCUACGGGAGGCAGCAGUGGGGAAUAUUGGACAAUGUGCGAAAGCCUGAUCCAGCAAUGCCGCGUGAGUGAUGAAGGCCUUAGGGUUGUAAAGCUCUUUUACCCAGGAUGAUAAUGACAGUACCGGGAGAAUAAGCUCCGGCUAACUCCGUG